rnacentral:rRNA from 1 species
UAGUCAUAUGCUUGUCUCAAAGAUUAAGCCAUGCAUGUCUAAGUACAGCUCUCGUAUAGUGAAACCGCGAAUGGCUCAUUAAAUCAGUUACUAUUUCUUAGAUCUUACUUUUGUUACUUGGAUAACUGUGGUAAUUCUAGAGCUAAUACAUGCACUUCAACCCUGACUUCUGGAAAGGGUGCUCUUAUUAGACUCAAAACCAAUGUCCGGUCUCGGCUGGUCUUGUUUUGGUGACUCUGGAUAAAGUGGCGGAUCGCAGCGCUCUACGCGGGCGACGUAUCUUUCAAAUGUCUGCCCUAUCAACUGUCGACGGUAGUGUAUUGGACUACCGUGGUUGCAACGGGUAACGGGGAAUUAGGGUUCGAUUCCGGAGAGGGAGCCUGAGAAACGGCUACCACAUCCAAGGAAGGCAGCUAGGCGCGCAAAUUACCCUACUCCUAGCACAGGGAGGUAGUGACGAGAAAUAACGAAUACGGGACUCUU